rnacentral:rRNA from 1 species
UACGUAGGGUGCAAGCGUUGUCCGGAAUUAUUGGGCGUAAAGAGCUCAUAGGCGGUUUGUCGCGUCGAAUGUGAAAACCCGGGGCUCAACCCCGGGCCUGCAUUCGAUACGGGCAGACUAGAGUUCGGUAGGGGAGUCUGGAAUUCCUGGUGUAGCGGUGAAAUGCGCAGAUAUCAGGAGGAACACCGGUGGCGAAGGCGGGACUCUGGGCCGAUACUGACGCUGAGGAGCGAAAGCGUGGGGAGCAAACAGG